rnacentral:rRNA from 1 species
CGUAGGUGAACCUGCGGAGGGAUCAUUGCUGGAACGCGCCCCAGGCGCACCCAGAAACCCUUUGUGAACUUAUACCUUUUGUUGCCUCGGCGCAUGCUGGUCUCUAGUAGGCCCCUCACCCCGGUGAGGAGACGGCACGCCGGCGGCCAAGUUAACUCUUGUUUUUACACUGAAACUCUGAGAAAAAACACAAAUGAAUCAAAACUUUCAACAACGGAUCUCUUGGUUCUGGCAUCGAUGAAGAACGCAGCGAAAUGCGAUAAGUAAUGUGAAUUGCAGAAUUCAGUGAAUCAUCGAAUCUUUGAACGCACAUUGCGCCCUCUGGUAUUCCGGAGGGCAUGCCUGUUCGAGCGUCAUUUCAACCCUCAAGCAUUGCUUGGUGUUGGGGCACUGCCUGUAAAAGGGCAGGCCCUGAAAUCUAGUGGCGAGCUCGCCAGGACCCCGAGCGUAGUAGUUAAACCCUCGCUUUGGAAGGCCCUGGCGGUGCCCUGCCGUUAAACCCCCAACUUUUGAAAAUUUGACCUCGGAUCAGGUAGGAAUACCCGCUGAACUUAAGCAUAUCAAUAAGCGGAGGAA